GCACCGCUUGUCCCCCUAGUGAGUCGGCCUUGGUUAUAUAGUUUUUUGUAAAAUCAAGUUGAACCAACCAUAUAAGACUCUCUGAUGUGUUACGCUUUCAGAUUAGUCCAAUUUAUAACACUAAACGUGUUUUUUUUUAACCGACCGAAUCAUUCGAUAGGGUUUUUCAAAAAAUUAAAAUAUAUAAGAUUCUCCUAUCUGGUGUUUCCUGAUUUGAAAUACCAAAUAUAUAACGUGUCCUAGUAUAAUUUUUCGAAAAUCAGUAUAAGUAAUAAUAUUACUUUGUUAGCUAUCCUCAGAGGCGGACCCAGUAAAGGAUUUGGGGUGUCAGUUGACACAGGUAAAAUGAUAAAAACAAUUGUUUUUGUAUUGAAAAUUGUAUUAGAGUCAUCAAUCCAACGGGUAUUUGCUAAAGGGUUGACACCCUUGUUCAAAAAAUAGGCCGCGGAGGCGAAUACUCGGCCGGUUAAACGUGAUGCGGGUGGGGUCCGUGGCGAAUUGAGUCACUUUGGUUGCAUUAUGCGGUGGAAUUGACGUGGACGGCGUAGAAUUAGAAAACGCGUCCGCGUAAUGGUGAAGAAACUUCCUCCGAUUCAAAUGGGUUGUCUAAAGGUUGAACCCUCGUUACAGAUACAUGGUGGUUGUGUUGGUGUAGCGAGAACAAAUCAAAAGGCACGCCAAGAUCAAAGCACACCAACUGUUCGAUGAAAUUCCUAAGAGAAAGUUCACAUGAUUGUAAACUGUAAAGAUUAUAAUGCUUUGAUGAUCAUGAGAUGCGGAGACGUGAGUGGUGUGUUACCACAAAAUCAAGGGAAGGUGUAUGGUUCCAAAGACAUUGUUAUUAUGCUCAUGAAACUGUUCUUUGAGAAUGGUGAAGUCAAUUUAGAACUAAACCUGAGGAAAUAUAUGAGGAGAAAGCGUAUUGCCCUCAUGGCCAUGCAUUGGAACUCUUUACCAAUGCAUAGUGUGUUUGAAGAAAACACAAUGAUGCUCUUAAGUGCUCAACGCAAACAAUGGAGAGACGAAGGUGCGUGAACAAACAAGACUAUUGUUCAAGUUGUAUACAGAAUAUUUGAAUAGAUAUUGACAAUAUUGUAGUUUGUUCCUGUAUUUACGAAUAUGUGAGUUUUAGUAUCAAUAAUGUUUUAUGCACAAACAUGUAUUAUACAUAAAAUUUUGUAUUAUACGUAUAAAUAGGGAUAUUAUACAUACAAAAAUACAAAAAAUUCUUC